GUCGAACGCUGGCGGCGUGCUUAACACAUGCAAGUCGAACGGAAAGGCCCUGCUUGCAGGGUACUCGAGUGGCGAACGGGUGAGUAACACGUGGGUGAUCUGCCCUGCACUUCGGGAUAAGCCUGGGAAACUGGGUCUAAUACCGGAUAGGAGCCAUUUUUAGUGGGAUGGUUGGAAAGUUUUUUCGGUGUUGGAUGAGCUCGCGGCCUAUCGGCUUGUUGGUGGGGUAAUGGCCUACCAAGGCGGCGACGGGUAGCCGGCCUGCGAGGGUGGACGGCGACAUUGGGACUGAGAGACGGCCCAGGCACCUACGGGAGGCAGCAGGGGGGAAUCUUGCACAAUGGGCGCAAGCCUGGUGCAGCGAGGCCGCGUGGGGGAUGACGGCCUUCGGGUUGUAAACUCCUUUCGCUAGGGACGAAGCUUUUUGUGACGGUACCUAGAUAAGAAGCACCGGCUAACUACGUG
rnacentral:rRNA from 1 species